AAAGAGGAAUGAGAAAUGAGAUGAGAUGAUUGGUUUAUUUCAUGUUAUGCCCAAAAUACACCUAUGAAUUAAUGAAGAAACUCAGUACAACCCUUUUGAACCAUGCGCCUGGUGCACUGACCCU